GUGUCAGCCGCCGCGGUAAUACGUAGGGAGCGAGCGUUGUCCGAAGUUACUGGGCGUAAAGCGCGCGUAGGCGGGCCAUUAAGUGAGAGGUGAAAUUCCAGGGCUCAACCCCGGAACUGCCUCUCAUACUGUUGGUCUUGAGUGAGGUAGAGAGAAGUGGAAUGGCUGGUGUAGCGGUGAAAUGCGUAGAUAUCAGUCGGAACACCGGUGGCGAAGGCGGCUUCUUGGGCCUUUACUGACGCUGAGGCGCGAAAGCCAGGGGAGCGAACGGGAUUAGAUACCCCAGUAGUCC
rnacentral:rRNA from 1 species